UACGUAGGGGGCAAGCGUUGUCCGGAAUUAUUGGGCGUAAAGAGCGCGUAGGCGGUCCGAUAAGUCGGCUGUGAAAGUCAGGGGCUCAACCCUUGGAAGCCGGCCGAUACUGUCGGACUAGAGUCCGGAAGAGGCGAGUGGAAUUCCCGGUGUAGCGGUGAAAUGCGCAGAUAUCGGGAAGGAACACCAAUGGCGAAGGCAGCUCGCUGGGACGGUACUGACGCUGAGACGCGAAAGCGUGG
rnacentral:rRNA from 1 species